rnacentral:lncRNA from 1 species
UCAAGUGUGCACAUUGUCCCGUUUAAUGAAGCAGGCUCAAGUCAGCGGGAGACCUUAACAUCCGCUAAGGAGUCUAAUAGUGAAGCUACUUCACCUGUAGAUUUGGUGAGACGAGAAAGUAGUUCUCGUGAGCAAGAUAUUGUUGGUACUGGACAGCCCGUGUUCCAUGAACAGUUGAAGCAGUCAAGUGUGCACAUUGUCCCAUUUAACGAAGCAGGUUCAGGUCAGCAGGAUACCUUAAGAUCUACUAAAAAGGAGUCAAAUACUGUAGCUACUUCACCUGUAGAUUUGAUGAGAUUAUCCAACCUGGAAACAGCUACUAGCUCCCAAAGAAUCAAUGUGGCUCAUUCAGAUAUGCUGAAUGCU